UGGAGUUGGACCCUGCAGACGCACACUUAAUUGCACAGCAUUACUUGCACAGAUCAGCAUCAUCUCUUCUCUGGCAUCACUGUGUUGAAAUGCUGAUGGCUUUAAGUUAUGGUAGUCAGCCUAAUCUGCUUUCACAGCAGUACCCUCCUCCCCCUCUACUACCAAAACCAGGGCGAGACAAUGCCCGCCUGCAGAAACUCCUGAAGAAAAGUGCCAAGAAGAAAGUGGGCUCCUCCUCACAGACACCAAUCCCGUUCCGGUCGAGUCUAUCACCGGUAAACGAGGCCAGCCCUGACCUGGAGCACAGCGAGCACUCCACCCCACCAAGGACUCCAGAAACUCCUCUCUUCAGCAGGACUUACGAAUCUCAAUAUUCCUCCAACAGCUCUUUCUAUGGCCACUCCCCCUCUCCAUACUUAUACCCAGCCAGCAGCUCACACUACAGCUCCACGCCCACACUGUCGGCGCAGAUGCACUCUUACCCAGCCCGAUCACAUGAGCACCAGAUAGCACCUCUUUACACAUGCUCCUCUAUGCUU
rnacentral:lncRNA from 1 species